AAGCGUUUUCUUGGGCUCGCGGCCGGUAGAAGUUCUUUGGAACAGGACAUCAUAGAGGGCGACAAUCCCGUCCGUGACCGGUCGUGCGUUCAUCUACGAUACGCUUUCAAAGAGUCGAGUUGUUUGGGAUUGCAGCUCCAAAUGGGUGGUAAACAUCACCUAAGGCUAAAUAUUGGCGAGAGACCGAUAGCGAACAAGUACCGUGAGGGAAAGAUGAAAAGAACUUUGAAAAGAGAGUUAAACAGUACGCGAAAUUGUUGAAAGGGAAACGAUUGAAGUCAGUCGUGCUGGCGCGAAAUCAACCAUCUCGUCUUGAGGUCACAUGGCGCGACGAGCCUCAAAACCGUCACGAAGCGUGAACUCUUGACGAAAAGGUGCACUUUCGUGUCCGCUGGUUAACAUCAAUUUCGAUCGUCAUAAAAAGGCUGGAGGGAUGUGGCUCCUUCGGGAGUGUUAUAACCUUUAGCGGAAUGUGGUGUUCGGGAUUGAGGAUUGCAACGAAUACCUUCAGGGCUGUUCCACCUGGCUUCUCAUUGGUAUCCUGGUGACGACGGCUUGC
rnacentral:rRNA from 1 species